CCAGCUUCAUACUUGGGACGACAACCAAAGCAGGCGACCAAGCGCGAUCCGACUUGUGAUAUCGCUGAACAAGUGGUGAGGCAGCACCAGCAGCAGCGAUGAACCAAGGACCAACGAGGCGCUUAUGGAGAAAGCAUCAGCUAUUUUGAAUGACGACGCCAGGAUUACUGACGGAACAAAGCCAAGAAACUGGCAAAGCGUUACCGAUCUGGGAGACAGUGUUCCCUGUGACCCAUCGAACAUGGACAGGCAGCAAGUCAAGCACACGGGCUAUGAGCCUCAUAUCUGCAAGGAAUGUUGCAAGUUUUUCUCAACGAAGUGGACUCUUGUCAGACAUAGCCGCAUGCACACAGGCGAAAAGCCUUAUGCCUGCCAAGAAUGUCCUACAUCAUUUGCCCUGAAUCACCAUCUGAAGGAUCAUCUCAAAACUCAUACGGGCGAAAAACCCCAUGCCUGCAAAAUAUGUUCUAAAACAUUUGGGCGGAAACAGCAGCUCAAAGUGCAUCUCAGAGCGCAUAGGGGCGAAAGACCUCAUGCCUGCAAAGAAUGUCCUAAAUCGUUUGCGACCAAACGAAGUCUUAAUGAACAUCUAAACGCACAUACAGGUAAGAAACCUUACGUUUGCGAAGUAUGUAAACGAUCCUUUACGCACAAAUCUAGUCUCAAAUGUCACCGCUGUGGCUACAAGAAUGAAAAGGAGUAUCUGUGUCCGGAGUGCGACAGUCGUUUCGCAAAUGAAGAAACGCUCGACAGUCAUGUGUGCGAGGAAAAUAUAUGCAUUGUGUGAGAGAAUUCGUUUACCGAUUUGGUUAAAUUUUCCACUCACCCCAUGGCACACAUAGGUAAACAACCAUGACAGUGUGUACUGUGCGCUGAACAGCUCGCACGUCUGCGGCGCUUGCAUCGGCAAAGUGAGCGAAGACAAGUGCAUCUACCAUUCGAUCUACCAUUCUAUCUACCAUUCGUGGAGGAAAUUGUAGGCAUGCAGGAAAAUAACUUUCACAGAUAAUUAUUAUCUAAACACAAGAGCUUUGCGAUAAUUCAAAAGGUAGUGCAGUAAUAUUUGAAGCCAGCUCAGGAUGUCUAAAAUUAAAGUAUCAUAGGAGAAAGUUUGCGAUUACGACAAUACUUGCGUAGAGUGGGGAGAUUAUGCGAAAUCCAUGCGGAAUUUUUGUUAUCAUGUCUCAAUAUUCCUCCAAAUGUCAAUGAGGGGUAGUAACCCUGCCCUAGGCAUUGAGAUUUAUAGAUAGCAAAAUAAAGUUUAAUGAAUCUUCGGUGGAGAAUAUUAAAAGAACGGCUGUAGUAUAAGUGGGACAAAAGUAGGCAAUAUAAACAGUGUUUUAAGACAUCACAAUAUUUCAUGAUCAAUGAUUUGUUAACACAAACCGCCGGUCCCAAAUACUGAUAAUGGGUAGAGAAAAAAGAUAAAAGUGACCAGCUAGACGGUAUGCGCCCCCUCCCGGCUUCAAAGGGGACGUUCAUAUUUUUCUUACAACGAAUUGAAGAAGAAAGCGAACAUCGACAGCUCAGAAGACGACGAAACAUCAACACAGCCUGGCUGGGCUUCCUUCCGUUAUCUUCGACGCUCUCUCGCUUUGCAAACAAAUCAAAUAAAUUGUUUUAUACACGUGACAAUAUUAAUUCAAUCAUGCAUGCUCACUACGGCCGCUGUAUGGUAAUCUUCACCCAAGCAUCGGCAGAAUUUCACGGGCGCGCUGGAAGUGGUUCACCCGCGUGGGGCGACCACAGAAUUGAGCAUUGUGAGCCAACCUCACUUUGGAAACAA